rnacentral:rRNA from 1 species
UACGUAGGUGGCAAGCGUUGUCCGGAUUUAUUGGGUUUAAAGGGUGCGUAGGCGGCUUUGUAAGUCAGUGGUGAAAUACGGUAGCUCAACUAUCGAGGUGCCAUUGAUACUGCGGAGCUUGAGUACAGAUGAGGUAGGCGGAAUUGACGGUGUAGCGGUGAAAUGCUUAGAUAUCGUCAAGAACACCUAUAGCGAAGGCAGCUUACUAGGCUGUAACUGACGCUGAGGCACGAAAGCGUGGGGAGCAAACAGG